UUAAUCUUCAACGGGCGAUUUCAGACAUUAUAGGUCCACUUAUACCUUGUGAUGAAUUACUGCAGUGUUUGGCAAAUAUUAAAUAACAUUUUUUUGUUGACAUGGAAGUGUGACCUGCAGGCUGCAGCUGGUCCCAGUGUUCGGCACUGUUUGUGUCCUGCCGUCUGGUUCUUCCUCCCUCUGUUCACUUGCUAUUGAAACACAGCUGGUUUACGUCCAUCACAAUCAAUGGAAGGACAUUUCCGAGCUGGUAAUUGCUUAAAGGAUCCGGUGCUGAUGGCUUCUGGAGCUGCCAAUCCAGGGAGCAGCUUUUGGCUCCUGCUGUGUACAGUAUGUCUGCCGUUUGACCAUUUAUCUCACUUUACAUACUUGAAUUGAAAGAAAGAAUAAACAGUGUAAAUCUGUGUCAGACACCAGAUGUCCAUCACAUUACAGCAUGGUGGUCUAAUUCCAAAUAUCUGAAUGUUGCAUGGAUGCGUGAUUAUAAAGAAGCAUAAAAGACCCUCCAGAAUUCCCUGCUCAAUAUUAUCUACUCUUCACACAAGGAUAU